GACGAACGCUGGCGGCGUGCCUAAUACAUGCAAGUCGAGCGGACCAAAGGGAGCUUGCUCCUGGAGGUUAGCGGCGAACGGGUGAGUAACACGUGGGCAACCUGCCUGUAAGACUGGGAUAACAUCGAGAAAUCGGUGCUAAUACCGGAUAAUAAAAAGAACUGCAUGGUUCUUUUUUGAAAGAUGGUUUCGGCUAUCACUUACAGAUGGGCCCGCGGCGCAUUAGCUAGUUGGUGGGGUAACGGCUCACCAAGGCGACGAUGCGUAGCCGACCUGAGAGGGUGAUCGGCCACACUGGGACUGAGACACGGCCCAGACUCCUACGGGAGGCAGCAGUAGGGAAUCUUCCGCAAUGGACGAAAGUCUGACGGAGCAACGCCGCGUGAGUGAUGAAGGUUUUCGGAUCGUAAAACUCUGUUGUUAGGGAAGAACAAGUGCCGUUCGAAAGGGCGGCACCUUGACGGUACCUAACGAGAAAGCCACGGCUAACUACGUGCCAGCAGCCGCGGUAAAGUCG
rnacentral:rRNA from 1 species